GAUUAAAGGUAUUCCGGUAGACGAUGGGGAUGCGUUCCAUUAGAUAGUAGGCGGGGUAACGGCCCACCUAGUCUUCGAUGGAUAGGGGUUCUGAGAGGAAGGUCCCCCACAUUGGAACUGAGACACGGUCCAAACUCCUACGGGAGGCAGCAGUGAGGAAUAUUGGUCAAUGGGCGAGAGCCUGAACCAGCCAAGUAGCGUGCAGGAUGACGGCCCUAUGGGUUAGUAAACUGUCUUUUAUAAGGGAAUAAAGUGGGAGUCGUGACUUCUUUUUGCAUGUACCUUAUGAAUAAGGACCGGCUAAUUCCGUG
rnacentral:rRNA from 1 species